rnacentral:snRNA from 1 species
UAGAUUAGCACGGCCCUUGAGCAAAGAUGACACACAAAUUCAUGAAGCGUUCCAUAUUUAA